rnacentral:rRNA from 1 species
UACGUAGGGAGCAAGCGUUGUUCGGAUUUACUGGGCGUAAAGGGCGCGUAGGCGGCAAAUUAAGUCAGCUGUGAAAUCUCCGAGCUUAACUCGGAACUGUCAGCUGAUACUGAUCUGCUAGAGUGCGGAAGGGGCAAUCGGAAUUCUUGGUGUAGCGGUGAAAUGCGUAGAUAUCAAGAGGAACACCUGAGGUGAAGACGGGUUGCUGGGCCGACACUGACGCUGAGUGCGCGAAAGCCAGGGGAGCAAACAGG